GAUGAACGCUGGCGGUAUGCUUAACACAUGCAAGUCGAACGGACUCUUUGGAGUUAGUGGCGGACGGGUGAGUAACGCGUGAGAAUCUGGCCUUGGGUUCGGGACAACCACUGGAAACGGUGGCUAAUACCGGAUGUGCCGAGAGGUAAAAGAGAAAUUGCCUGAAGAUGAGCUCGCGUCUGAUUAGCUAGUUGGUGAGGUAAAGGCUCACCAAGGCAGCGAUCAGUAGCUGGUCUGAGUGGAUGACCAGCCACACUGGGACUGAGACACGGCACAGACCCCUGCGGGAGGCAGCAGUGGGGAAUUGUCCGCAGUGGGCGAAAGCCUGACGGAGCAAUACCGCGUGAGGGAAGGAGGCUCUUGGGUUGUAAACCUCUUUUCUUAGGGAAGGACAAAAUGACGGUACCUAAGGAAUCAGCAUCGGCUAACUCCGUG
rnacentral:rRNA from 1 species